UCUGUCCCUACACGACGCUCUUCCUCUCUGGUAUUUCUUGUGUGUUUGGCUCAUACUAGGGGAUAAGGAGAGAGCAUGAAGUGAGGCUUUGUCAAGUUCUGUGCUGAGGAUGGGGCUGAAAGUUGUUACCGUCCCAGCAUGAUGCUCUAGUGGAGAUGAAGGCCAGGCAGCCCCAGCUGGAGGCCAUAAAGAUCUUGGUGGGAGGAGAGCUAAAUGUCUCUCACUUGACAAGAGAAAGGAGACACUCUAUGAUAUUUCCUCUUACAGACCCAGACUAAGAAAGAAAGGCUCUCAUAUAAAGGAAAAGAUGUGAACCCAACACAGACACGGGUCCAGUUUCAGGAGUCCUGAAGAUACUGUGAGGCACAGCCAUGUUCAAAUCAUUCUCCGUUAUGGAGCUGGCUUCCUGUGGUCCCUCCCUGGGGCCCCCUUGGCUCUCUCCCAUUUUCUGAGACUAUUCCACUCUCUGUAGUGUCUUCUCCCACUCCUCAUGCCCAGCCCUGCCCUUCUAACCCUAACAAACUUAUCUCAAGUCUGAACCCCCCAAAGGCUUGUGCACCCUGGCACCCUAUGAGUGUCCAGCUCAGAGCAGGUGCUCAAGAAGCAUUUUACAAUGAAUGACCCAUCCAUA